GACUUAGUUGUGUACUUUCCAAUCGGUUGGGAUAACUUAGCAGACUUAACCUGUCAAUUAGGAAAACCUUUUUAAAAAUUUGAUGAAGUCAGGUGGUUGAGGACCACAUCCAGCCAUGUAAAACCAAAUCAAGGUUAAAAGUGAUGGGCUCAAGCCAGGAGUCUCAUUUUCCCAUUCUAAUUUCCUCAAUCAAAGGGAUUAUGGAAACUAGGCUUUAGUUGCUCCCUUUCUUUACAUUCCUUUCUCUCUCUUCUAGGGCAUUCUUCAAGAUAUUUUCGUGUUUUGGCGGCAAACAAAAGGAAAAGGAGGAAUCUCCCGUUGGUACACCGGAGGAGACCACCAAGAGGAGAGUGAGAUACGUGGUGGAUGUGGAGCUCCGCAAAGUGGAGCGAUGUGAUUUCUCCACGAGGGAUGAGAUACUCUUCACAAAAAGGAACAAGGUAUGUAGAAAACUGAAGAUGGUGAACCCCAUCCUCAUGAAACCUCUCUCUUGGCAGAAAAGGGCAGGGAGGCAGGGUUUCUUGUUCCUUUUGAUCCACUUGGUGCUGGAAUCCCUGGAUAGGAUGUCUGGCUCCUAAGACUUGGGUCGAUGGGCCAAGGGAGGAUGGGGAGUGACCCUGCAAGACAUUUGGCAACAGGACAAUGGAAUUCUUUCUGUCUCUUCCAGGACGCUGAAGUCCAGAAAUCUCCUUUUAAAUUGGGGCCGCCUGAAAAUCAGGAUUUUGUUAAUGAAGGCGACCUAACUUUGGAGGAGCUGUGACUUCCUGUUGGAUGCAUCCUCCGUGAUCAAAGCAAAGAUUCUAGCUCAACCUUGGGAAGCGCAGAAAAUAUCUUUUCCCCAGACAACAUUUGGAUGUUUUUCCUUUGCAAGUGUUGCUUUUACUGAGAAUGCAACACUCUUUUCUAUGGCGAUGCUCACCUAUUAUUGGAUGCUUUAAUUCCCGUGAUGUAACUGGACGGACGACUAUGUCUAAACCCAUCAACUUUUGCUUUGAAGUUCUUUGUUGUGUUUCUCUAAAAGUUAAUGUAAAUAAUUUUAGCCAAGUUCUCCUUUUUCAUAGAGAAAUCCCCUCCCCCCCU